GACGAACGCUGGCGGCGUGCCUAAUACAUGCAAGUAGAACGCUGAAGAGAGGAGCUUGCUCUUCUUGGAUGAGUUGCGAACGGGUGAGUGACGCGUAGGUAACCUGCCUUGUAGCGGGGGAUAACUAUUGGAAACGAUAGCUAAUACCGCAUAACAAUGGAUGACACAUGUCAUUUAUUUGAAAGGGGCAAUUGCUCCACUACAAGAUGGACCUGCGUUGUAUUAGCUAGUAGGUGAGGUAAUGGCUCACCUAGGCGACGAUACAUAGCCGACCUGAGAGGGUGAGCGGCCACACUGGGACUGAGACACGGCCCAGACUCCUACGGGAGGCAGCAGUAGGGAAUCUUCGGCAAUGGGGGCAACCCUGACCGAGCAACGCCGCGUGAGUGAAGAAGGUUUUCGGAUCGUAAAGCUCUGUUGUAAGUCAAGAACGGGUGUGAGAGUGGAAAGUUCACACUGUGACGGUAGCUUACCAGAAAGGGACGGCUAACUACGUG
rnacentral:rRNA from 1 species